rnacentral:tRNA from 1 species
UGCGGAGUCGUCUAAUGGUAGGACACCACUCUUUGGAAGUGGGUAUUCUAGGUUCGAAUCCUAGCUCCGCAG